UAGGGAAUCUUCGGCAAUGGACGAAAGUCUGACCGAGCAACGCCGCGUGAGUGAAGAGGGUUUUCGGAUCGUAAAACUCUGUUGUUAGAGAAGAACAAGGACGUUAGUAACUGAACGUCCCCUGACGGUAUCUAACCAGAAAGCCACGGCUAACUACGUGCCAGCAGCCGCGGUAAUACGUAGGUGGCAAGCGUUGUCCGGAUUUAUUGGGCGUAAAGCGAGCGCAGGCGGUUUCUUAAGUCUGAUGUGAAAGCCCCCGGCUCAACCGGGGAGGGUCAUUGGAAACUGGGAGACUUGAGUGCAGAAGAGGAGAGUGGAAUUCCAUGUGUAGCGGUGAAAUGCGUAGAUAUAUGGAGGAACACCAGUGGCGAAGGCGGCUCUCUGGUCUGUAACUGACGCUGAGGCUCGAAAGCGUGGGGAGCAAACAGG
rnacentral:rRNA from 1 species